rnacentral:rRNA from 1 species
GGAUAGAGGCCUACCAUGGUGGUAACGGGUAACGGGGAAUUAGGGUUCGAUUCCGGAGAGGGAGCCUGAGAAACGGCUACCACAUCCAAGGAAGGCAGCAGGCGCGCAAAUUACCCAAUCCCGACACGGGGAGGUAGUGACAAUAAAUAACAAUACGGGGUUCUUUCGGAUCUCGUAAUUGGAAUGAGUACAAUUUAAAUCUCUUAACGAGGAACAAUUGGAGGGCAAGUCUGGUGCCAGCAGCCGCGGUAAUUCCAGCUCCAAUAGCGUGUAUUAAAGUUGUUGCAGUUAAAAAGCUCGUAGUUGAAUUUCGGGGUUAGUAGGUUGGUCAUGCCUCUGGUAUGUACUGGUCUCACUGAUUCCUCCUUCCUUAUGAACCGUAAUGCCAUUAAUUUGGUGUUGCGGGGAAUUUGGACUGUUACUUUGAAAAAAUUAGAGUGUUUAAAGCAGGCUAACGCUUGAAUACAUUAGCAUGGAAUAAUGAAAUAAGACGUUCGAUCUUAUUUUGUUGGUUUCUAGGAUUGACGUAAUGAUUAAUAGGGAUAGUUGGGGGCAUUAGUAUUCAAUUGUCAGAGGUGAAAUUCUUGGAUUUAUUGAAGACUAACUACUGCGAAAGCAUUUGCCAAGGAUGUUUUCAUUAAUCAAGAACGAAGGUUAGGGGAUCGAAGACGAUCAGAUACCGUCGUAGUCUUAACCAUAAACUAUGCCGACUAGGGAUCGG